rnacentral:tRNA from 1 species
GCGGCAUUAGCUCAGUCUGGGAGAGCACCGGCAUACGAAGCCGGAGGUCGCGGGUUCAAAUCCCGCAUGCCGCGCCA